GGUUCCCACGGGGGUUUAAUUUAGCUCUUCCUACCACGAUACAUAUGCUCUCUGAUCAAUUUGGUGAGCCACGGCAUGCCUCACCACCACUGGGGCUUAUCCAGAGCCACAGACCAGUAUUGACAGGUUUUACAGCUCAACACUAAAGUGUCUGUCUUACGCUGCCAGAAGAAUAAAUGUUGCUAUCGUCAAGUAGAAGACACUAGCGCUUCCACUUUCAGAAUAUGAGACAGUUGCUCCAAGAGCAAUCUUAGCUCCAGGGAUAGCAAAUGCAAUCAACACUAUGAAUGAAGUGUCUUUGCAGACGGAGUGAUAUCACCAUUCAGAUGGCAGCAUUCCCAAGCUGAUCCUGCAUCUAACUCCACUCACUUUGUCUUGGUGCCUGGUGCCCUGGUCUGCUCUGUGCUGGAGCCUCUGUCUUAUCUAGCCUUAUCUCUCUCCUCCUGUCCCUUCCCCUCCCUUCCUCAUACCUCCCUUCCCCUCCCCUUCCCUUCUCUUCUCUACCCUCAGUUGCCCUCCACUGCCCUCCCCUCCCGUGUUUUUCUCCAAAUAUUCUCCUUCAGUGAAACUGGUCAACCAGUUAAGUGUGUGGGGAACCAAUA